rnacentral:lncRNA from 1 species
GGAACUUGGGAUAAUGUGGUUCUCACCACAGACAGAGCUGGGCUAUAAAACAAAGAUAAUAGCCAGUGGAGGAAUGGAAGUUAUCUGUGAAAUCCUGUUGGGUGGAUAGUGCUCGGUAUAGUGAGAGUGUUUGCAUUUGGUCAUGGCCGGUUUUGGAAGUACUGAAGGAAAGAAGGGGGGUUGUCUCUGGACUAGGGAACCCUGCCACAAAAAUGGCCUCAGAAGGAGCAAUGACAUGUCUCCAUCUGCAUAUAGCUUCAGAGCUUGAUCUUUUGCAAAUGUACCCACAACCGAUGGUUAAUUAGUCGCUAAUAAAGUGCACACUUCCCAUAAACAGCUUUGGGCGAUUGUCUCUAUGACACUUUAAGUAAAGACUUACAUGUAAUAGUGUUUGGAGAAUAAAAACAAGCUUUGGGUCGUCAUUUGACCAGCGGUGUGGGAGUCAGGGAAUUAACCUACUAGGUCCCAUUCCUUUGUUCCAUAUUCCGUUUCUAUUCCUCUUCUAAUCCUUGCACAUGCUGCCUUAUUUUAUUACACUAGACUAGGAGUUUUGUUAGUCUUUCAAGUGACGAAUGGAUAGCAUUGAUUGUCACAUAAUUUACUUGUCCCGAGUAUAUAGAUCUAUUACAAAUGUAGAGUAAAAAUUUCAAAUGUCCGGCCGCUUCCUCACUUCGCGCUUGGUAUGUGUAUCUGAUCCCAAAUUAAAUUUAGACUUGGGAUUAUAUUGGCCAGCUUGCAUUGGGUGAAUUGACUUAUCUUUUUCAUUGUUGUUGAAAUAAAGCACAUUGAUAGAUUCACAAUUUGGCAUGUCUAUAGUGCCACAAUGGGUAAUAUGUAGUACUCCAGUUUCA